rnacentral:rRNA from 1 species
CCUACGGGUGGCAGCAGUGAGGAAUAUUGGUCAAUGGACGAGAGUCUGAACCAGCCAAGUAGCGUGAAGGAUGACUGCCCUAUGGGUUGUAAACUUCUUUUAUAUGGGAAUUAAAUGUUCCACGUGUGGGAUUUUGUAUGUACCCUAUGAAUAAGGAUCGGCUAACUCCGUGCCAGCAGCCGCGGUAAUACGGAGGAUCCGAGCGUUAUCCGGAUUUAUUGGGUGUAAAGGGAGCGUAGGUGGAUUGUUAAGUCAGUUGUGAAAGUUUGCGGCUCAACCGUAAAAUUGCAGUUGAAACUGGCAGUCUUGAGUACAGUAGAGGUGGGCGGAAUUCGUGGUGUAGCGGUGAAAUGCUUAGAUAUCACGAAGAACUCCGAUUGCGAAGGCAGUUCACUGGACUGCAACUGACACUGAGGCUCGAAAGUGUGGGUAUCAAACAGGAUUAGAUACCCCAGUAGUC